rnacentral:lncRNA from 1 species
GCAACAACAAAUCCCCCCCUUCCCAAGAGCAUGACAAGCCCCUCCAUCCAUUCACCCACCCACCCAUUCAUCCAUUCAUCCAUCCAUCUGGUAAUUCACUCCUUUUCAUUCAUCCAUUCAUACAUCAAUCCAUCUGGUAAUUCACUCCUUUUCAUUCAUCCAUCAAUCCACCUGGUAAUUCACUCCUUUUCAUUCAUCCAUCUGGUAAUUCACUCACUCCCUCCCUCCAUCCAUCCAGUGGUGGUGGUGGUGGUAAUGGUGAAGGCUGGUGUAUCACUGUCUAACUUAACAGCUGUUGUGCUGUGUUGACCCAGAUUCAACAGUUGUAGUAGUAAAAGUACUACUACUGCUACUUAGUACACACCUGGCUAGAGCUCCUCAUAUCCUCCUCCUCCUCCUCCCACUACUACAUUUCUUCUUGUAGUGCUUCAUAGCUCGAGUCUAGUCUUUCCAAAAUCCUUUUUUCCAUGCUUCUUUAAGAACACAAGGGUUGGGUCCCAAAAGGUAAAAGACAUGCUCUUUGGAAGCACCAUGUUCUGGCACACACUCAAAUACUAAGAGAAAAGAUUAAGAAGAGGAGAGGUGGAAUGGAGAAGGCAUUGAGGAGGGGGGGGGGUACAUGAGCCAUAGCAGCAUCAUGAGUGUUGGGCUCCAUGUCCCCAUCUUUGUCCCUGUCACUCACUCUCUCACUGCAAGCAAGCCUGGCAGUCUACAAUUGUCCUUUGACAAAGAGAAUGAAUACACCCUUGCUCACACUUAACCCACACUCUCUCACUCACUCACUCACUCACCCACUCACUAUCACCCAGCCUCUUCCUCUCCUGCUACUUGGCCUGCCUGCACCAAGAACC